rnacentral:tRNA from 2 species
GCCCCGGUAGCUCAGUGGAUAGAGCGUCUGCCUCCGGAGCAGAAGGCCGCAGGUUCGAAUCCUGUCCGGGGCACCG